UGGGAAAGCGAAAGUGGAUAGUUCCGGGGGAGGGGAGGAAUAGUCCCGAUCGUGAAGCAUAAUGACAGGAGCCAUAAAAAUGUCAACUUGGAUGUCUGUAGUGUCAGUGACGCUGUGGAUCCCUGUUGUCUCCUGUAUGUCUCUGUAGAAAUGGAAUAUUUGGUACAUCCAGCCCUUAUGUAGUCACGCUCCUGUUUAUUGUGCUCCUGACUUGUGGAUGAGGUGCUAGAAUGUGCCUGGCCCUGUGCUAUUCCAUGCAGAGUGUUUGCUAUUAUUUUAAUACAUUGCAUGGGUCACCAAUUGCUUCUCUGCUGCUGGAAAUUGGUAGGAUUGCCACUUGUCAUCUAAUGCCAUGUUAGCCAUGCCAGUGCACUUCCACACCUUAUGUCAUGUAACCAUUUAGUAACAGAAACCCCACGACUGGAUCAGUAUCAUCCUAAUGUCACAGUUGUUGCUCAUUUCGACUAAAGCCCUCAUAGAAGCCAAGCUCCCCUUUAUCUGAACAGAGUUUAACAACAUCUAGAAUAUGAAAUAAUUAUUCACCGCCACAGAUUCCAGGUGAAUCGUAGCCUCACUUUAACUUGCCUUCAUGCUGAGCGUUACCUGUCACUACUCCAGGCCUCACAAUUGGGAACCCUAAUAACAAGCGUUUAGUUGACAUUUCUCUGUCCAGUAAGAAUAAUACCUGAUGUUCUUAUGGAUCUGGAUUGUGAGCUCUGUUAGCCCACUCCUCUGAUGGGUGAAGCUGUUUUUCUGUGAUAGGUGUACUUGUACUUUUUCCAGAAAUCAAGGCAAUUCUUCCUAUGGAUUUCCAUAGGGCGAUUUCUCUUAAUAUACACUAUGCCAACCAUUGGAUAGCGUUGGUCACAGAUUUGUCAUUGGAUCUUUUCUUUUUGUUAAAUACAUGACCAAAUAUAAUAGUUUUUGUUUUAUUUGUUUAGCUAGUGUUUCUUCAUCUACUUUUAGGACUUGUUUAAAAAUCAGAUGAUGGUUUAGGUCACAUUCAUGUAAAAAUAUUGAUAUAUUGAAGGGUUCACAAAUUUUGAAGCACAACUGUAGCUGAGAUUAAAUGAAGCCUAAAAAAGUGGCCUAGCCAACCAGUUAUAAAUGUAUGUAUAUGUAUUUUGGUUAAAUACUACAAUUAAAAUUAUGGUGGCAGUGGUCUCAAUUUAAUAUUUUGCACAUCUGGACAUUCAAGAGACACUGGUUUACUUGAAAGCCAAAUAAAAAUAGUGGCUUGACAGUGAUGGGUGGGUUGAGCUAAUGUUAACUUUUUGAAAUAGAAAAAUUACAUUUUCUGUAACUGAAGUGUAGGCAGCAUUAAACCAUAGCAACCAGUAAAGUCAUUUGGAUUUUUCUACUACCCCACAUUUUCUGUACCUGGGCAACCCAUUUUCUUGUCAAAAAAGAAAAAUAUAUCUUCUUAAUUGCAGUACAGGUAUGGGAUUCAUUAUCCAGAAACCCGUUGUCCGGAAAGCUGCGAAUAAUGCUGGCAGUGGCCUACUGAGUUUAGAUUCCCAAAAGAUGCUGAAACUGGCAGAGCAGUGUCUUAAAAGGGCUCACACCACAGCAGAAAAGUUGGGUGAAUAUGAUUAUCUUCAGUGAGACUUUUAUUUACAUUUUAUAUUUUAUUAUUCAAUUAAAUAACUUAGAAAGCUUAAAAGUUGGAAACCUUGCCAUGCAUUGCAACAUAUUGUAUAGGAAAUGGCAUAUACAUGGGUCAUUGUAUUGUCAAGUGGUGACUCUUGCCUGAAAUUAUGUAUGGGUCGGGUCAGAUCCCUUGCAAACAGUCAUAUUGUACUUUGUGGCCUGAACACAUACGUUAAAAUGUUAAAUUUGUUGAAGUCCGUCUUAUCCUUUAUAAAACUGGAUUUAUCCGUGCCAAAAUUAAACUGCAUAUGGAUACUCUUGCUAGCACUCUGCAGUAUGUUUCAUUAGAGAUAACCAGUGAUUUGUACUGAACUGGAAUUUUAUACAUUCUGAUAAAUCAACUUUGCUCUUAACAAUUUGAACAUUAAACACAUUGCGCAAAGCUGGAAUAUAGUCUGUAAGAUCAUGAAGCUGCAGGGAAUGCUUUCAUUUGCAUGCCAGUGCUAUUCCCAAGUUGGAGAUCUGUGGUUAUCAAGUUUUUUUUAAAAAAAGAGAAACCAGUCUGUCUACAGGGCUUUUUAUUGUCACAAAACCAAGUAAACCCAGAGCUAGCGUAGCACAUUACCCACAAUUACACCCAGAGUUGUGUUUACUUUUGCUUGCAUUCACAGAUUUAAUCACCUCAAGUCCUGAAUGUCUACAUAGCCUGGUGAGUUGGACCCACAGAAAUGGAGGAGGCUGCUCCUUCCCACCUAUACUGAAGAGGGUGAAGAGGUCUUCAGAGAUUUUCAGAGCCAGGACGAAGAAGAAACCAGACAGCAGCCUUCCUCAGAAGUCUCCGUUGAACCAUGCAUAGACAAGAGGGAGGAACUGCCUACAAGUGUCCUUACCAAGGCUGCACAGCUGUAUACAGAGGUUCUACAUGAAGAAACACAUUAAGGAACAUCAUGAGGAGGUGCGGGAGCGACCAUGUCCACACCCUGGCUGCAACAAAGUAUUUAUGAUAGACCAGUACCUACAGAGGCAUGUCAAGAUCAUUCACACAGAGGAGAGAAACCACAUUUGUGAC